rnacentral:rRNA from 1 species
AGUGAACGCUGGCGGUAGGCCUAACACAUGCAAGUCGAACGGCAGCACAGUAAGAGCUUGCUCUUACGGGUGGCGAGUGGCGGACGGGUGAGGAAUACAUCGGAAUCUACUUUUUCGUGGGGGAUAACGUAGGGAAACUUACGCUAAUACCGCAUACGACCUACGGGUGAAAGCAGGGGAUCUUCGGACCUUGCGCGAUUGAAUGGGCCGAUGUCGGAUUAGCUAGUUGGCGGGGUAAAGGCCUACCAAGGCGACGAUCCGUAGCUGGUCUGAGAGGAUGAUCAGCCACACUGGAACUGAGACACGGUCCAGACUCCUACGGGAGGCAGCAGUGGGGAAUAUUGGACAAUGGGCGCAAGCCUGAUCCAGCCAUACCGCGUGGGUGAAGAAGGCCUUCGGGUUGUAAAGCCCUUUUGUUGGGAAAGAAAAGCAGCAGGUUAAUACCCCGCUGUUCUGACGGUACCCAAAGAAUAAGCACCGGCUAACUUCGUG